rnacentral:rRNA from 1 species
UACGUAGGGGUGCAAGCGUUAAUCGGAAUUACUGGGCGUAAAGCGUGCGCAGGCGGUUUUGUAAGACAGAGGUGAAAUCCCCGGGCUCAACCUGGGAACUGCCUUUGUGACUGCAAGGCUUGAGUGCGGGCAGAGGGGGAUGGAAUUCCGCGUGAGCAGUGAAAUGCGUUAGAUAUGCGGAGGAACACCGAUGCGAAGGCAUCCCCCUGGGCCGCACUGACGUCAUGCACGAAAAGCGUGGGGGAGCAAACAGGG